rnacentral:lncRNA from 11 species
GGAGGGUCUCCUUCCCGGGACGGAGAACGGCGGGGGACCCUCGAAGGAAGAGGAGGGUCUCCGGGCGGAAGGUGAGCUUGCCAAGGGUGGUGGGGUGGGGUCCGUGGGGGCCGGCAGAGUGACCGGGAGAGUGACCGCCAACAUGCUUUCCCUUCUGGGCGCAGAGAGAGAGAAGGACGGGGCGGACGGGCCCGAGUUCGAGGAGCACGGCCGCAAGCCCCCGCUGGGCAAAGCCAUGGAGGAGUUCCUGGCCGACAUCCUGACCCUCUACAAGCCCCGUCCAGCCGGUCAAGCCGCCCUGGCCAGCGCCGCCCAGGAGAGAGUCUCGGCCUUGAAGCGGCUGCUUCAGAUCCCGGAGGAGGGCGAAGGGGACUUCCCUGCGGACGCCAACAACGGACCCCCCGAAAACGGAGCCCCCCACAAAGAGGAAGAGGAGGAGGAGGAGGAGGAGUGGGAGGGCGGGGGCGGCAAGAGGAGGCCGGCAGGAGGGGCGCAGGACCCGCCUUGGGGUCCCGAAGCCCCCGAGAAGGAGGACCCCGUGUCUCCGGUGGUCCUCUCCCUCCAACAGUCGGACGGGGUCAAGCACCACCUGCGGCUCCUGGAGGACGCCGUCCAGGGACUCAAGGAGAUCGAAGCGGACUACUGGCGCCUGCAGCAGCUGAUGGGGAAGCUGACCUCCUCUUCCUCCUCCUCUUCCUCUUCUUCCUCCUCUUCUUCUUCGCAGCCGCUCUCUUUCACUUGAAAAGGAAUCAGGGAGAAGGGCCGUCCAUCCGUCCUGGAAGGAGGAAGAGACCCUUUGCUCUGCCCGCUUCUUCGCCUUCGCCAACCAAAUGGUUUUGUGUCGGAGACGGACUCGCAAAACAGGGAUCAAUUAGCGGGGAAAUUAAUUGCUAUAUAUUUAUAUACAUGCAUACAUACAUAUAUAUAUAUAUAUAUAUAUAUACUGCCCAAAAAGGAAAAUAUUUUGGGAUCAAGCCUUAGAGAGCCUUGUGUUUCUGCAGGAGAGAGACGCAAUGGCUGCCUUUCAGGGCUGGUCAGUUGGAGCAAAGGGCAAGCAAGGGUCAAGGGGUCAGCUCAGACCCUCGGACCCUCCCAAGGGGUUACUCUCAGGUUCGGGGUCUUUGCUUUCUCAGUCCCCUUUUUUCGGCUUUUGUAUGAAAAAAAAAACCCUUAAGUAAUAACUGCAAUGUAUUUGGUGCAUCCUCCCUCACUUUUCUGACUUUUGCAUUUAAUCCUAUAGAGUUCCAAGGAUAUUAUAUACAUGCAUAGGCAUAUGUAUAUAUAAAUAUAUGGUGAAAGAAGCACAAUAAUUGCAAUAAUUUUUAGCACAAGUAAAAAUCUGUAGCUCUUCCUUGACCCACUUCUAAAACUCCUUGCACAUUUGUCCCUAUGGAGCCCCAUAUAGACAUAUAUAUACACACACACACACACACACACAUAUACAUACACACACACACACACACAUACAUACACCUACUCACAUAACCAUACAUACAUAUCCGUGUGUGUGUAUAUAUACAUGUACACACAUAUACACACACUCACGUAUCCAUCCAUACAUAUCCAUAGGUGUGUGUGUGUGUAUGGAAACAUGCACUCACAUACAUAAACACACACUCACAUAUCCAUACAUACAUGUCCAUAGGUGUGUGUGUAUGGAUACACACAUACAUAAACACACACUCACAUAUCCAUACGUACAUAUCCAUAGGAAUGUGUGUAUGUGUGUGUAUGGAUACACACACAUAUGUAUAUACACACACAUAGACAUACCCAUACAUAUCCAUAGAUGUGUGUGUGAGUGUAUGGAUACACACGCACACAUACAAAUACACACACUCACAUAUCCAUAGGGGUGUGUGCAUGGAUACACGCACACACAUACACAUACGUACUCACAUGUCCAUACAUACAUAUCCAUAGGUGUCUAUGUGUGUGUAUGGAUACACUCGCACACAUAAAAAUACACACACUCACAUAUCCGUACAUACAUAUCCAUGGAUACACACACACACAGACAUACCCAUACAUAUAUAUACAUGGAUACAUGCACGCACAUACAUACGCACACAUAUCCAUACAAGUUAUCCAUAGAUGUGUGUGUGUGUUUGCAUAUGAAUACACACACACACACACGUGUGUGUGUGUGUGUGUGUGUGUGUGUGUGUGUGUGUGUGUGUAUGAAAGCCCCCACCCUGCCCGUCUGUGGCCACUUUGCAGCUCCUCUGUGGUCCUGCAGUUGCACCCAAUGGCCAGCAGGUGGCGCCCUAGCCCUUGCCAAGGCAGCCUUGGGGGGAUGAGGGUCUUUGCAGUCCGUCCUCUUUGGAGGGAGCGGGAGGCCUCUUUCCCCCCUUUGGCCAGAACUAGGCUUUUCCCCAAUGAAACCUUUACCCCAAUUCUGCGUGUUGCCUGGAUGGCAGCUCCCAGCAUCCCUUGCAUCUGCUGGGGAUGAUGGGAGGCGCAGCCCAACAAACAUCUGAGUGGACCACUUGUGCUUUUCCGGACUGAAAAGUCACAGGAGUGGCCUUAUAUUAUUGGACUACAACACUCACCAUCCCUGACCAUUGGGGUCCAGAAGCCUAUAUUAUUGGACUAACAUUUCUACCCUAAUCCCCCUGACAAUUGCUAGCAAGGGAUUAUGGUAUUUGGAGUAUAGGAAGCCUUUAUCCUUGGACUGUAAUUCCCAACAUGCCCGACCCAUUAAUAACUUGGGGGUGAUGGGAUCCGGAGUCCGGAAGCCUGUGUCCUUGGACUACAAUUCCCAUCUUCCCUGGCCAUUGCUCAUUGGGGAUGAUGGGAUCUGUAGUCCAGGACAUGUGUUUUUUGGACUACAGUUUCUAUCAUCCCCAACUAUUACUGAGGAUGAUGGCAUAUGGAGUCAGAAAAGUGUUCUUUUUAUUGCGAUGCCCAUCAUCCCCAGUCAUUGCUAAUUGGGGAUGGUGGGAUCUGUAGCCCAGAACCAUGUGUUUUUGGACUACAGUUUCUAUCAUCCCCAACUAUGACUGAGGAUGAUGGCACAUGGAGUCAGAAAUGUGUUCUUUUAUUGCGAUGCCCAUCAUCCACAGCCAUUGCUAAUUGGGGAUGAUGGGAUCUGUAGCCUAGAACCAUGUGUUUUUGCACUACAGUUUCCAUCAUCCCCAACUAUUACUGAGGAUGAUGGCCAUAUGCCAUUCUUUUAUUGCAAUGCCCAUCAUCCCCAGCCAUUGCUAAUUGGGGGUGAUGGCACCUGGAGUCGGGAGUCUGUGUUCUUGGACUACAAUUCCCAUCAUCCCUGGCCUUUGCUAAUUGGGGAUGAUGGACUCUGUAGCCCAGAAGCCUGUGUUCUUGUCCUACAAUUUUUAUCCUCCCCUGCCAUUGCUAAUGGGGGGUGAUGGAAUAUGGAGUCCAGAAGCCUACUGUAUUUGUGGACUACAAUUCCCACCAUCCCCGGCCUUUGCCUAUGUCCUUGGAAUACAAUCCCCUUAACAUAUAUUAUUCUCCUCCCCAAAAAGUGCCUUUUUUGUAAUUACUUUUUGUCGGCGACAUGCCUAUAUUUGUAAGGAAUGCUGGGAUAUUUUAUAUACCUAUAAAUAUUAUAUAAAUAUACAUAUAAUCACAUGCAUAUGAAUAUAUAGGGAGUGUGGCCUUGAUGCCGCCAGCCGGGACUUUAGAACUAAGUGCUUUUCAAUUUAGGUAGAUUAUGUGUGUGUGUGUGUGUGUGUUUGUUUUCCUUUUGUUCUGUGUAUUUGCUGCAUAAAAGGAACCUUUAAGUUGUAUAUUCCGAAAUGAAUUGCCUUGCCUUUUGCCAGUAUUUUGCAGGUAUAUAUAUAUAC